GAUGAACGCUGGCGGCGUGCUUAACACAUGCAAGUCGAACGGAAAGGCCCAAGCUUGCUUGGGUACUCGAGUGGCGAACGGGUGAGUAACACGUGGGUGAUCUGCCCUGCACUUCGGGAUAAGCCUGGGAAACUGGGUCUAAUACCGGAUAGGACCACAUUUUGGAUGGUGUGGUGGAAAGUUUUUCGGUGUGGGAUGAGCUCGCGGCCUAUCAGCUUGUUGGUGGGGUAAUGGCCUACCAAGGCGUCGACGGGUAGCCGGCCUGAGAGGGUGUACGGCCACAUUGGGACUGAGAUACGGUCCAGACUCCUACGGGAGGCAGCAGUGGGGAAUAUUGCACAAUGGGCGCAAGCCUGAUGCAGCGACGCCGCGUGGGGGAUGACGGCCUUCGGGUUGUAAACUCCUUUCGCUAGGGACGAAGCGUUUUUGUGACGGUACCUGGAGAAGAAGCACCGGCUAACUACGUG
rnacentral:rRNA from 1 species